rnacentral:rRNA from 1 species
CAGUAGCCGCGGGAACACGAAGGGGGCUAGCGUUGCUCGGAAUGACUGGGCGUAAAGGGCGCGUAGGCGGAUUGUUUAGUUAGGCGUGAAAUUCCUGGGCUUAACCUGGGGACUGCGCUUAAUACAGGCAGUCUAGAGUGAGGAAGAGGGUUGUGGAAUUCCCAGUGUAGAGGUGAAAUUCGUAGAUAUUGGGAAGAACACCGGUGGCGAAGGCGGCAACCUGGGCCUUGACUGACGCUGAGGCGCGAAAGCGUGGGGAGCAAACAGGAUUAGAUACCCGCGUAGUCCCUGUCUCUUAUAC